rnacentral:rRNA from 1 species
CAACAGGGCUUGCCCCAGUAACGGCGAGUGAAGCGGCAGGAGCUCAAAUUUGAAAUCUGGGGCCCCCGGCCUCCGAGUUGUAAUUUGGAGAGGCUCCUUCGGGGGGGAGCGCUGGCCCAUGUUCCUUGGAACAGGACGUCGCAGAGGGUGAGAAUCCCGUGCCAGGCCGGCUGCCUCCUCCCGCGUGAAGGGCCUUCGACGAGUCGAGUUGUUUGGGAAUGCAGCUCCAAGUGGGUGGUAAAUUUCAUCUAAAGCUAAAUACCGGCGGGAGACCGAUAGCGCACAAGUAGAGUGAUCGAAAGAUGAAAAGCACUUUGAAAAUAGAGUCAAAAAGUACGUGAAAUUGUUGAAAGGGAAGCGCUUGAGACCAGACUCAGACCCAGGCAAACACCGCGCCCCCAGGGGCCGUGCAAUUGCCCGGUGCUGGGCCAGCAUCAGUUGGCGUGGCGGGACAAGGGCGCGGGAAAUGUGGCUCCCCUCGGGGAGUGUUAUCAGGCCCGCGCCGGAUGCCGCCGACGCCGACUGAGGACCGCGCCUCGGCUAGGAUGCUGGCUUAAUGGCCUUCAGCGACCCGUCUUGAAACACGGACCAAGGAGUCUAACAUCUAUGCGAGUGUUUGGGCGCCAAACCCUUGCGCGGAAUGAAAGUGAGCGGAGGUGGGAACCCCUAGCCGGGCGCACCAUCGACCGAUCCUGAUGUCUUCGGAUGGAUUUGAGUAGGAGCAUAGCUGUUGGGACCCGAAAGAUGGUGAACUAUGCCUGAAUAGGGUGAAGCCAGAGGAAACUCUGGUGGAGGCUCGCAGCGGUUCUGACGUGCAAAUCGAUCGUCAAAUUUGGGUAUAGGGGCGAAAGACUAAUCGAACCAUCUAGUAGCUGGUCCUGCCGAG